rnacentral:rRNA from 1 species
GCUUACGGCCAUACCACCCUGAGAACGCCCGAUCUCGUCUGAUCUCGGAAGCUAAGCGGGGUCAGGCCUGGUUAGUACUUGGAUGGGAUUCCGCCUGGGAAUACCAGGUGCUGUAAGCU